CGGGGCGUAGCGCAGUUUGGUAGCGCGUACGGUUCGGGACCGUAAGGUCGCAGGUUCAAGUCCUGUCGCCCCGACCA
rnacentral:tRNA from 1 species